rnacentral:rRNA from 1 species
AACGCGAAGAACCUUACCUGGGCUUGACAUGCAUUGUGUCGCCGGUGAAAGCCGGCUAGUGUAGCAAUACACGCUUUGCACAGGUGCUGCAUGGCUGUCGUCAGCUCGUGUCGUGAGAUGUUGGGUUAAGUCCCGCAACGAGCGCAACCCUUGUCCUUAGUUGCCAUCAUUCAGUUGGGAACUCUAAGGAGACCGCCGGUGACAAACCGGAGGAAGGUGGGGAUGACGUCAAGUCAUCAUGGCCUUUAUGGCCAGGGCUACACACGUGCUACAAUGGCAGGUACAGAGGGAAGCCAACGCGCGAGCGGGAGCCAAUCCCAGAAAGCCUGUCGUAGUCCGGAUCGGAGUCUGCAACUCGACUCCGUGAAGUCGGAAUCGCUAGUAAUCGCAGAUCAGCAUUGCUGCGGUGAAUACGUUCCCGGGCCUUGUACACACCGGCUAC